CGGAAGUUGGGGGGCCCCGUGAGCACCAGGCACUGGGGGCUGAGGGGGGAAGGGAAAAGGGCGUGGGCCAUCAGAGGAUGGUCCACAGGGGUCUGGACGCUGAAGGCACCUCCCAGCUCCUUUGGUGGCUACCACACUGGGUCUCCCUUGUCCUUCCUGCUGAAGCCACCAAACACGCCACCUGGUGCUCCUCCCUGCCCUGCCCGGCCCAGCAUGGUGGUGGGAAGAAUAAAGACUGGCAGUAAGGUAGCCUGUCACUUCUAAAGUCACCAUAUCACCUGGGCAAGUGACUCAGCCUGUGUGUCGAGAGGCAGCAUUGGGCAGAGGUCAAAGGCCACUACCAGAGUCAAUCGGAGCCAGACUUAACCAGCAAUUCACCAGCUGUGUGACCUGGGGCCAGUUACUUAACGUCUCUGUGCUUCAGUGUCCUCGUCUGGGACUGGGGUUAGCGAUUUCCUGGACCUUAGAGGGCUGCGAGGCUGUGUGAGGCGCCUGGCAAGCACCUGGCUCAGGGUAAGUGCGACAGAUAUUUCCCGAUUAUCUUUGUCGCAUCUGGUGGGAAGGGACAGCAGGUGCGUAAUUCUCCUGCCAAAGGCGGAGUCAGCUCUGAAGAGCACCCAGGGGAGGUUUGUCACCAUCGGCCCCAAGGAUUGUCACGAUGGGAAUUACAACAGCAAAUCGCCCUGACAACAGAGCGUGUUCCACUGUGGAAAGGGAGGCACAGAGAGGUCCCUUGACUUGCUUGGUUCUUCCUGAUGGCUGGGUGGUUCUCCUCCACCUCUGUUUCCCCCCUGAGUGGGGCUGUGCCCAGCCUGGGGCAGGGGGCAGGUGCAGGCUCGGAGACCCCCCAGGGUGGGGCCAUCCCAGGUGGAGCCCCCGAAGCUCUGCUCACCGGUAGUUCUUGAUGUGGUCUUCCACCUCGUUGAGGCCCACGGCGUGGCUGAGGGCCAGGUUGUAGGAGCCGGCCUGCACCGAGGAGCCCCAGUUUACCUCUGGAGGGGGGCUGGAGACCGAUGCACAUACCGCAUGGCUGCAUGUUUAGAAGUUAUACAUCAAGAUAUCGAGCUCUGCAAAAUCUCCUCCUUGCCACACAGACCUUCACGAUGGCCUGGAAGCCCAGAUGACGUAGAGCAGGAGGAAGAGCACGACGCCGAUGGCGAUGAGGGCCGCCCACCAGGUGAGGAG